rnacentral:rRNA from 1 species
ACAGAGGGGGCAAGCGUUAUUCGGAAUUAUUGGGCGUAAAGGGCGCGUAGGCGGUGAUGUAAGUGAGAUGUGUAAUCCCCGAGCUUAACUUGGGAACUGCAUCUCAGACUGCAUCGCUAGAGUGCUGGAGAGGGUGGUAGAAUUCCACGUGUAGCGGUGAAAUGCGUAGAGAUGUGGAGGAAUACCAGUGGCGAAGGCGGCCACCUGGACAGUAACUGACGCUGAGGCGCGAAAGUGUGGGGAGCAAACAG